rnacentral:misc_RNA from 1 species
GAUGAAGAACGAAGCGAAAUGCGAUACUUGGUGUGAAUUGCAGAAUCCCGUGAACCAUCGAGUCUUUGAACGCAAGUUGCGCCCGAAGCCAUUAGGCCGAGGGCACGCCUGCCUGGGCGUCACACGUCGUUGCCCCCCCAUCUACUCCUUCGGGAUUGCGGGGGGCGGAUGAUGGCCUCCCGUGCGCCACGCCGCGCGGUUGGCAUAAAUGCCAAGUCCUCGGCGACGCACGCCACGACAAUCGGUGGUUGCGAAACCUCGGUUGCCCGUCGUGUGCGGUCGUCGCGCAUCGAGGGCUCGAAAAAAUUGCCGGGUUCCGGCUCGGCUUUCAACGCGACCCCAGGUCAGGCGGGGUUACCCGCUGAAUUUAAGCAUAUCAAUAAGCGGAGGA